CAGGCAAGAAAUGCAAGGCAGCACCUACGGCCACCUUAGCACAAGCCCGACACUGUUAACAAUGGAAUCGGCUUCCCUGGAAACAAAACUCAGCCGGGAGAUCAGCCCUCGGUAAGUAAAGGGAUGCUCAUGCUGUGUGGAGGAACCUGCACUGGGAGUCCGGCACAUCACUGACUCACACUUCAGCAGCAUCAACUUUGGAGGGCCUGCCUAGAGGCAGUUGUAAGGAACUGGCUUUUCUGCGGGGGAGCGGCUUAGGAUUUUCUGAAAAUCAGGCUGCAUUAGGGUCGCCCCAGGAAUCUGAGGCAUCGGAAAGCCACCAAAUCACUCUGGAAGAUUUAGCCCUGAUCAGACUGGUUGAUCAAAGCCCCUCUCCUUUGUUGAUGUUGGAUCCGGGGCUGCCA
rnacentral:lncRNA from 1 species